rnacentral:miRNA from 1 species
GAUCCACGUUGACUGGGCGUCCGC